UAAUCUGUUCGGGGUACAUUCUUAUUUAGUUAUGACAGACUCACACCUGCUUGUUUAGAAUCAUCCGUUAUUACAAACUCGACUACAUCAUUGACAUUGAAAAACACAUGACAACUACCCUGUGAGUAAUGAUUUUUUGAGAUU
rnacentral:pre_miRNA from 13 species